rnacentral:rRNA from 1 species
AUUGAACGCUGGCGGCAUGCCUUACACAUGCAAGUCGAACGGUAACAGGUCUUCGGAUGCUGACGAGUGGCGAACGGGCGAGUAAUACAUCGGAACGUGCCUAGUAGUGGGGGAUAACUACUCGAAAGAGCGGCUAAUACCGCCUGAGAUCUACGGAUGAAAGCAGGGGAUCGCAAGACCUUGUGCUACUAAAGCGGCCGAUGGCAGAUUAGGUAGUUGGUGGGAUAAAAGCUUACCAAGCCGACGAUCUGUAGCUGGUCUGAGAGGACGAUCAGCCACACUGGGACUGAGACACGGCCCAGACUCCUACGGGAGGCAGCAGUGGGGAAUUUUGGACAAUGGGCGAAAGCCUGAUCCAGCAAUGCCGCGUGCAGGAUGAAGGCCUUCGGGUUGUAAACUGCUUUUGUACGGAACGAAAAGCCCCGGGUUAAUACCCUGGGGUCAUGACGGUACCGUAAGAAUAAGCACCGGCUAACUACGUGCCAGCCGCCGCCGUAA